rnacentral:rRNA from 1 species
CUACGGAGGGGGCUAGCGUUGUUCGGAAUUACUGGGCGUAAAGCGUACGUAGGCGGACUGAUCAGUUGGGGGUGAAAUCCCAGGGCUUAACCCUGGAACUGCCUUCAAUACUGUCAGUCUUGAGAUUGGAAGAGGUGAGUGGAAUUCCUAGUGUAGAGGUGAAAUUCAUAGAUAUUAGGAGGAACACCAGUGGCGAAGGCGGCUCACUGGUCCAAUACUGACGCUGAGGUACGAAAGCGUGGGGAGCGAACAGGAUUAGAAACCCUAGUAGUCC